rnacentral:sRNA from 1 species
UUGAUAAUGUUGGAAACUGAUAUAUCUUUAUCCACAGAACCAGCACAGCACAGGAAGAAGCAGUGCAAGCUUCCCCCACAAUAGCCUGUCAAUGUAUCACCAGACUACUCUGAAGAAAUCAAUUAUAGGGGUCAAAGGGUAGUCUUCAAGCCAUUCAGUUCUUCUUUGUC